GGUGCACAUGGGCAGCUCAUGGGCACAUAUCUACUCACAGUCGUGACAAACACCAUCUCUCAUGUGCAACACUGAUGACGUGUGUGCAUGCGUGCGUGUGUAUGUGUGUGUGUGUGUGUAUGUGUGCGCGCGCGUGCGUAUGUGUGUGUGUUAGCAUUACCUGUGUGUGCCAGACACAGGUCCAUACCAGUUAUCUUCCUUAAUCACCCUCUGCCUUAUUUUUUGAGGUAGAGCCCAUCACUGAAUCCAGAGCUCAUCAAUUUGAUCAGGCUAGCUGGACGGCGAGCACCAGGGAUUCCUCUGUCUUUGUCUCCCUUACAAACACUUGCUGCCAUAGAUGGUGUCCUAUGUGAGUGCUGUGGAUCUAGACUCGGGUCCCCAUGUCUGCACACUUCAAGGAGCCUGAGAGCUGGAGAAAGCAUCCUGAAUGGACUGAGUUCGUUAAGACCACCAAAGCCUGGGCUGGAGAGAUGGUUUAGCCGCCUCCACAGAUGGGUGGACUGAGAGGAUCUCAGGAUCAGAGAUGGAAGAACAGAAGUCAUCGUUACAGAUUUCUCCAAGCAGCCCGGCCACGGUGAAUAAUUUAUGUACAAGGUGGAGAAGACAAUAAAU